GACUGUCUGGCGCAAUGGUAGGGCGUUCGACUCCAGAUCGAAAGGUUACGCGUUCGAUCCGCUUAGUGGGAA